ensembl:lncRNA
GUUACAGAAGCAUCCAGUACUGUGGCCAUGGAGCCAGUAGGAUUCAAGAGGGCUGUGAACACAAUACAAGAACAAGGAAUCAAAAUCGACGUGCUGACCACAGACAGAUCGCCAUCUAUUAGAAAGAUUAUGCGUGUAGAAUAUCCCAACAUUCACCACAAAUUUGAUAUUUGGCAUGUAGUCAAAGGUAACUGUCUCACAAGAGACUGAGAAAGAGAUAUUAAUUAUGAAUUAUCCAAAAGGCAACAUAGUCUAAAACUUAUUUAUUCCUAUGUAGGAAUAUACAAUGUGUUGUUUACAUGCAUUUAAAAAAUUGCUACAAUAAACCGUGAAGUACUAGAUUAACCUUGUUAUGCACUAUAUUGUCAAUCCUUUUUAAUUAUUUUAUAAUUAAAAUUAUAUUUUUUAAGGACUUUCCAAAAAGUUGUGCUCCAUGUCAAGAUACAUGGACAUCGAGAGCUUCAGCCAUGGACACGAAGUAUUUGCAACCAUUUAUGGUAUUGCUCUGCAACUUGUGGAGGCGACCCUAACGUAAGUUCUGUAAUGUUUUAAUAUUAAGUUUAAUUUCUUUAUACACACGCACAAAUUUUACUUUGUUCUUUAAAGAAAGCUUUGUUUUUUUGUUUUUUUUUGUAAGUUUUUAAAUAUUGGGGUUGCUGGACCAUAAACAUCUAUUUUUCUAUGUUUAUAAUUUAUACAUUUGUAUAAUAAUUACUUUGAGUAUUCAUGUAUUUAUACAGGAACUGAUCGAAAAUUGGAAGUCCAUACUUUAUCACAUUACAGGUGUGCACAGUUGGUUUAAAGAAGGAAAGCAGAAAAAAUGUGUACACAAUGAUCUCAGUCCAGAACAGCAACGCAGAAAAAAAUGGCUUGGAAAAGACUCACAUGCCUUCCACACACUGCAGAGUCUUGUCCUGGACAAAGGACUUGAAAAGGAUUUGAGGCAAAUGGCUCUUUUCAAACACACUGGACAACUGGAGGUGUUUCAUUCUGUCCUACUGAAAUACUGCCCAAAGAACCUGCAUUUUCAUUAUGUGUCCAUGGUUGCACGAACACAACUCGCUAUCCUUGACCAUAAUGAAAAUGUAGGUCGUCAGCAAGCAACAACCACUACUGGUGCAUCUCGGUACAAAGUGGUUUUCCCCAAACAUACCAAAGAAUGGGUAGCCAAAACGAUUUUUACACAAACCACUCAAAAAUUCAGAGAGUCUCUGGUUGAGAAAGUUGUACAGCGGCGGCUGGACACCAGCGUUGUUUACAAGGAAAGUUCUUGUCGUUUGACUCAUCAUCACCCAUUGCCACAGAACAUAGCCCUAACACCAAGGCCUGACAAGCAAGAAGUAAUUGCAAAGCAUUUAUCAAGAUUUGGACACUAAUUUGCUUUAAAAAUGUUGAAGUCUGUUAUAUACAUUUUUUUUUUUAUUGGGGCAAAAACAGAAAACACUGUUGGUGAAACAAACAAAAUAUUUAUGGUGUUAGUGUGAAAUAUAUGGUCCUUACUGAUGGUACCCCACAUCAGUUGGAAUUAAACAUCAACGAAUGUAUUUCUCAAAUUUGUUUUAUUCUUCCAAAAUAAACAUUUGUGUGAGACAUCAAUAAGUAUGUAGUGUUGAUGUAUAUACAACAACAAAUAACAUUGACUAUGCAAAAAAUAAAUAAAAAUACAGCUAUUACAGUAACAAACAAGCCACAACAAAUUAUAAUGUAUAUAAAAAAUGUAACCUUGUAAUUCAAAUUGUAUUUCAAAUUAUUAUUCCUACAAAAGACCAAAAGCCUCUUCGGCUUCUCUGAAGCCUACAUACUGUCCUGAUGGAAAAGGGUAUGACAGUCUGAUGGCACUGACAACACAGGAUGGAAGAACCCUCCUGUUGCGUCUUCCCAAUCUCUCCCCUUUCAGCAUCCAUUCCAGAACUAUCCGGUAUGCCACCAGCCUAUAUUGACUGUAAAAUAAAAGAAAUGUGUGCAGUCAAUCCCUUUUAAAUAUAUAACGUUAAAAUAUGAAAAAUUAUAACAUAUGUAUAUGUAAUAAUCAUACUACACGCGAUACUUACUCAACUGUUAGGGUGCCACCAGGUCCUUGGGGCCUCAGACGGCGUCUCCAGUUAUUUUUGGGCAAACUAAAAAACACCUCUAACACGCUGUUGCUCAGUAACGGUGGAAAUCCAUUUUGUUGGGUAAUGCAGCGAGAUGUAAACAGGGUCUCACCAGCUGACUCAAUGAUUGAUUCUAAUGGCGGGAUUGAAAUGGUCCAGUCGUGGCAGCAUUGAGAUUCUUCCUCUGUUGGCAAUGGUUGGCAUUUGCCACAUGUGCACCACCACGUCUCGUUAGAUCUUCGUCUGCCCCAUGCUUGAGAGGUGUGUGUCGCCGCAGCAUUCUCGUCCAUCUGCCUAAUUUCUUCCUCUGUGUAUUCCGGUUCAAAAAGGUAGGGCAGGGCGAAAAACUCCAUCUCAUCUUCUCUUCUAAGUUCAAAAUCGUCCGGCAUCGUUGUUUUACCUUUUAACUUCCUUUUUUUUGUAAACGGCAUUUAAUUUUCUUUGCACGUUCAACUUGUAAACACUGACACGGUACUUCCGCCUACGUCAAGCUUGACCUUUUCAACGUAAUUGCGUAUUACGUGACGUCUUCAACGCGCAUCACAGUACAGAGCAAGGCCAGCGUUUGUGCUUAUAAAACUUAAACUUUUAUUAUUUAUUUUGGAAAUGACCGAUCGUUUCGCUAGAUAAGGCCCUUAUUCAUCAUCUGGUAUUGUUUAAAGCCAUUUGAAGCUGCACUGAAACUGUCAUUUGGACCUUGAACCGUUUGGGUCCCAUUAGAGUCCAUUACAUGGGGCAAAAUCCUGGAAUGUUUUCAUCAAAAACCUUAAUUUCUUUUCGACUGAAGAAAGAAAGACAUGGACAUCUUGGAUGACAUGGGGGUGAGUAAAUUAUCAGCAAAAGUUUUUUUAAAGUGAACUCCUUUAACACGGUUAAAUGCUUUGGGCGUGUUUGACUUGAAGCAUGGCUACAGACAGCGAUCAACAAGAGCAGCUGCUUGCAUUCGGGGGUGGACAUUCAGCUCCGGUUAGAGACAUUCACGUGAUGUUUGCAUACUUUAUCACAUAUGAAGUGAAUUGAAUGCAAUAUUUGUGAAAAACACAGACGCUUUAGAAAUGUUUUCAUGAGCAAAAGAAAUCAUAUUUUCAAGAAUAAAGUUCAACUUAAUCAGAUACUGUUUAAAUACAGUGGGCUAUAUAUGCUUUUAUCAGUGUUGUAUGAUAAACGUGACUUAAUACAACAGUGUGACUACAGUAAAAAAGCUUUUACCUUCCUAAAAACACAGAUUUGUGGCCAUUAUUGGAACUGAAAAUGUUCAAUUAACCCAAAACACACACAAUUGUUGUCAUGCGAUGAAUUUGUCCAAUUGUGAAAGCAGCUGUGUCGUCAUCAGCGCUCCUGCAGCCGCUCUGGAGAAACUGUGGCGGCUGAGUCAUGUGGCAUCGGCACCAUCUCAAUUCAGACAAAAUAUCUAACUGGCAUGCACUGCUUCAAGUUAGACUGCGAUCGGUUUGCAGUGCUGUGUGAUUUAAAUUAUUUCAAAUAUCAGUAUUCAACAUUUUAUGUUCAAAAUAGCAUUAAGUCUAUUUAUGCAUAUGUAACUGCAGUUUAAAUUAAUUUAUAUCCCAUACCCCAUGAGAUACAUAAACCGUGUAAAUACAUUUCAUAUUUCAAAAAUACUAUUUCAGAUGCAUAUUCCAGAAAUGUGUUCUUAUGUUGGGAUGAAAAACACUUAAGUACAGAUGAAGUCCUCCCCAAAAAUACAAAA